rnacentral:rRNA from 1 species
UGAGUGCGAGCGGCUACGGCCGCGAAGUGGGUGAUGUCAAGCUUCCAAGAAAAGCCCUAUACCCGUUAAGGCAUGAUGGCCUGUACCCGAAACCGACACAGGUGGGGUGGUAGAGAAUACCGAGGGGCGCGAGGUAACUCUCUCUAAGGAACUCGGCAAAAUGGCCCCGUAACUUCGGGAGAAGGGGUGCCACCGCAAGGUGGUCGCAGUGAAGAGGCCCAGGCGACUGUUUACCAAAAACACAGGUCUCCGCUAAGUCGUAAGACGAUGUAUGGGGGCUGACGCCUGCCCAGUGCCGGAAGGUUAAGGAAGCUGGUCAGCGCGAGCGAAGCUGGCGACUGAAGCCCCGGUGAACGGCGGCCGUAACCAUAACGGUCCUAAGGUAGCGAAAUUCCUUGUCGGGUAAGUUCCGACCCGCACGAAAGGCGUAACGAUCUGGGCGCUGUCUCGGAGAGAGGCUCGGCGAAAUAGAAUUGUCUGUGAAGAUGCGGACUACGUGCACCCGGACAGAAAGACCCUAUGAAGCUUUACCGUAGCUUGGUAUUGUGCCCGGGCUCUGAAUGCGCAGGAUAGGUGGGAGGCUUUGAUCCAUGGCUUGCGGGUCAUGGUGAGCCAACGGUGAGAUACCACUCUUUCAGAGCUAGGGUUCUAACGGUCACCCGUCAUCCGGGGACCGGACAGUAUCAGGUGGGCAGUUUGACUGGGGCGGUCGCCUCCUAAAAGGUAACGGAGGCGCGCAAAGGUUUGCUCAGGCUGGUUGGAAAUCAGCCGACGAGUGCAAAAGCAGAAGCAAGCUUGACUGUGAGACCUACAAGUCGAACAGGGACGAAAGUCGGCUUUAGUGAUCCGACGGUUCUGAGUGGAAGGGCCGUCGCUCAACGGAUAAAAGUUACUCUAGGAUAACAGGCUGAUCUCCCCCAAGAGUUCACAUCGACGGGGAGGUUUGGCACCUCGAUGUCGGCUCAUCGCAACCUGGGGCUGAAGUCGGUCCCAAGGGUUGGGCUGUUCGCCCAUUAAAGCGGUACGCGAGCUGGGUUCAGAACGUCGUGAGACAGUUCGGUCCAUAUCCGGUGCACGCGCAGGAACAUUGAGAGGAUUUCUCCCUAGUACGAGAGGACCGGGAGGAACGCACCUCUGGUGUGCCAGUUAUCGUGCCAACGGUAAACGCUGGGUAGCCAUGUGCGGAGUGGAUAACCGCUGAAAGCAUCUAAGUGGGAAGCCCACCUCAAGAUGAGUGUUCCCAUGGCAUAAGCCAGUAAGGUCACGGGAAGAACACCCGUUGAUAGGCUCUACGUGGAAGCCGGGUAACCGGUGAAGCGGAGGAGUACUAAUAGACC